CGGGAAAAGCUGCUAGGGAGGCUUUUUUGCGCCCGUACCCGAGACCGACACAGGUGGGCUGGCUUAAGAGGCUAAGGUGAGCGGGAUAACUCUCGUUAAGGAACUCUGCAAGUUGACCCCGUAACUUCGGGAGAAGGGGUGCCUCUCUGGUGAAGACAAUGCUGUUGGAGCUGAGAGAGGUCGCAGAAACCAGGCUCAGGCGACUGUUUACUAAAAACACAGGUCUCUGCAUAAGGCGCAAGCCGAAGUAUAGGGACUGACACCUGCCCGGUGCUGGAAGGUUAAAUGGAGAGGUUAGUGCAGUGAUGUGCGAAGCUUUGAAAUGAAGCCCCAGUAAACGGCGGCCGUAACAAUAACGGUCCUAAGGUAGCGAAAUUCCUUGUCGGGUAAGUUCCGACCUGCACGAAUGGUGUAACGAUCUGAGCGCUGUCUCGACGGGAGACCCGGUGAAAUUGUGGUCCUGGUAAAGACACCAGGUACCUGUGGUGGGACGGAAAGACACCAUGGAGCUUUACUGUAGCCUGGUACUGGAUUUUGUCCUAUCAUGCACAGGAUAGGUGGGAGGCGUAGAAGCAUGUGCUUUGGCAUAUGCGGAGCCGAUGUUGGGAUACCACCCUUGAUAUGACGGAAUUCUAACCCCUAGCGUCUGAAUCGACGGGGGGGACACCGCCAGGUGGGCAGUUUGACUGGGGCGGUCGCCUCCCAAAGAGUAACGGAGGCGCGCGAAGGUCACCUCAGGGCGAAUGGAAACCGCCCAUAGAGAGCGCAAGCGUAUAAGGUGGCCUGACUGAGAGACCGACGGGUCGAUCAGGGACGAAAGUCGGUGCUAGUGAUCCGGCGGUUCCGAAUGGAAGGGCCGUCGCUCAACGGAUAAAAGCUACCCUGGGGAUAACAGGCUGAUCUUGCCCGAGAGUUCCUAUCGACGGCAAGGUUUGGCACCUCGAUGUCGGCUCGCCGCAUCCUGGGGCUGAAGCAGGUCCCAAGGGUUGGUCUGUUCGCCCAUUAAAGCGGUACGUGAGCUGGGUUUAGAACGUCGUGAGACAGUUCGGUCCCUAUCCACCACGGGCGCAGGGUAUUUGAGGAGAUCUGCUUCUAGUACGAGAGGACCGAAGUGGACGAACCGCUGGUGUACCGGUUGUGACGCCAGUUGCAUACGCCGGGUAGCUAUGUUCGGCACGGAUAACCGCUGAAGGCAUCUAAGCGGGAAGCCGCCUUCAAGAUGAGAUACCCCAUUCCUUAAAGGAAGUAAGGCGUCCUGUAGAAUACGGGAUAUAUAGGCCGGAGGUGUACGCGUUGCGAGACGUUGAGCUGACCGGUACUAAUACGCCGAGGCCUUUUCCU
rnacentral:rRNA from 1 species